UUUCUAUAAAGGCAAUCUGUCUACUGAAGAGUCAUUUCCCAAAAUAACCCCUGAUAAUUGGCUCGUACUCUUUCUUGGAAUGAGAUGUUUGUUUAGCAUAGGAGGGGAUGAGACGCCAGAGAAACAGAGCCCCCACCUAAGAAUGUCACGGAAUUGGAAUCAUAUCGCGUGUGAGCUUCGUGGAUUGUCUUCUUUCCCUUGGUGCUGUAUGCACGAAAGAGAAAAAGAUGGUUUUAAAACAUGGUUCCUGGAUUGCACGCCAACUAAGCUGUGUGUGAGGAACGCAAGUUAAAAGUGAAUUUAGCGCCUGUGGAAUCUCGCGGUCUAAGCAUCGAGGAGGGGCAGCGGUCUGCUGGUUCCUGGAAUGAAUACACCCCCAUGACUGGGCUCUUCCUUCGAUGCACCCAAGGACGAUGCUGUAUUUUCUCUCCUCUCCAAAAAGGCACCUCUGUUUUCCAAAUCCGGUGGACCAGACUGUGC